rnacentral:misc_RNA from 1 species
AAGUCGUAACAAGGUUUCCGUAGGUGAACCUGCGGAAGGAUCAUUAACACUCCAAAAACUUCUCAUACUCCCUCUCACGGGGGGGUUAUGAAACCCUAUUCACACUUUCACGAACCCCGGCGGAAAUGAUACAGAUUUUGUCUUACUUCGGUGAGAGGCUGUUCAUUUCUUGCUACUACUUUUGUCCAUUUUCAUUUUUAACCCCAAUCAUUAUAACUUUUAUUUGUCUGACUGGAAGACGUCAAACCUCUUCCGUUGCUCUUGGCUCUAACCAGCUAAGGCAAUGAAAACUUUUAAACAAAAACAAAAAAACAACUCUUAGCAACGGAUAUCUUGGUUCUC